rnacentral:rRNA from 1 species
ACGGAGGGGGCAAGCGUUGUUCGGAAUUACUGGGCGUAAAGGGCGCGUAGGCGGAAGAUCAAGUCAGGGGUGAAAGGCCUGGGCUCAACCCGGGAACUGCCUUUGAAACUGGUUUUCUAGAGUACGGGAGAGGAUGGCGGAAUUCCCAGUGUAGAGGUGAAAUUCGUAGAUAUUGGGAAGAACACCGGUGGCGAAGGCGGCCAUCUGGCCCGGUACUGACGCUAAGGCGCGAAAGCGUGGGGAGCAAACAGG